ACCGAAGCGUUAAAAUAAAAUGGCGUCUGAACGGGUUUUGGAAUCUCUAUCGAAUCGUUUACUAGAUUUAGACAGAAUCAUUUAAAAUAAUGGAGAGAAUUUAGCAGAAUCUGAUACAUAUGAAUUUGUCAAUGCGCAAAAAACCCCAACCGAAAACACAAAGAGAAAAACAAUAUCGGACAUUAACAGGUUUAAAAGUUGGCUCGAAAGCAUUGGAGAUGGUCGAGCAAUUAUAAAUAUUCUUGCACAAGAGAUGAAUAUGCUGCUCGCAAGCUUCUUUAUGAAUCUAAAGAAAUUUAACGGAGAGAAUUACGAACCAGAUACCAUGAAAUCCAUUUUUUGCAGCAUCAAAAGGUUUUUGAAGGACAGGGAUUACGGGACCAACCUGAUGACUAGUGAAAUAUUUCACCACGCCCGAGAAAUGCUAGCAACAAAACAAAAGAUUGCAAAAUCACACGGCUAGGGAAAUAAGAAAAAUAGAUCAGAUCCGUUCACAGAAGACGAAAUUUAAAUUCUGAGGAAAAAGGACUUCUUGGCACAGUUAAGUUAUUAAAACAUUGCUUUGUUAAAAGUCUAACUUUAUCUCAUAUCAUUAUAUCAAAAUAUAAACUUACGUGGUGGUCAUCAAAUUAUAAAUCGAUAUCGUUUUGAGCAGAUAAUUCACACUCGACAUGAUUGUGUUUACAUCGAUAUUCUAUUGCAUGUAUAAUAUUACGACUACACAGUAAAUGAAACGUCUUAACGAUGACGUAUUGACGCAAUUACUCCAGGGCCGUCAAUCAAUAAAUUAUGUACAGUGCCUUUGGAUCUAUGUAAUAUAAGAUUGUGGCAUGGGAAUUAAAGAUCGAGACAUAUAUUUUUUGUUACAAAGCGAAAUUAUAGUCCUAUACUCUUUUGUUACAAAACGAAAUUUUAACCCUAUAUUCUUUUGUUACAAAGCGAAGUGUUGCGGUUACUAAAUCCAUGAAUUCAAACAAAGAAACUGUGUAGAUCUCUACUUUUUGGAUUUCUUAAUUUAUUUUCAGAAUCGCCGGAGUCACUUAUAAACACUGUUUGGAUGAACAACAUGUUGCACUUGGGCCUACGGGGUCGACAAGAACAUGUCACAAUGUUGUGGGGAGACGUUGAACUCCUUUAGACAUCACAAGGAAGGGAAUAUCUGGCGCUCACGGAAAGAUUAACUAAGAGUAAGACUAGGAAUGGAAUCUCGGCGGAUCCAAGAGCGUUCACACCUAAGAUGUUUUCGCAGCCAGGUGACAUGGACUGUCCUAUCGAAGUGUACAAGAUAUACGCUGACAAACGCCCAGAGAAAAUGAGAAAACCCGAGGCUCCAUUCUACGUCGCUGUUAACCCUAAUUGGAAACCGGAUGCUAAUGUGAACUGGUACAUGAAUGCAAAAAUUUGGUGUGAAUAAUUGUUUAUGUUAUAUUCCAGUUUAAAUACAAUGUCCAAUGAUCUUUGUUUGUAUUAAUCGAAUAAAUGAAGUCGGACAUA